CUCCGUGGCAGCCGCCUCCCAGCGCGCCAGGGCUUCUGCGGGCGCAGGGAGUAGGGUCAGGUUGGACACACCGCGCCCGAGCUUACGCCACGCCCACCCCUUGCGCCCCAACACACCUGUCAGCGCACCGUUCACAGCCCCCAUUUGGGUCCCCUGCUCCUUGGCCUCGUCCAUCUCAGUCUUCAGCGUCACAAGUUGGGUCUCAAGCAGGCUCUGUGGAGUGGCCCAGAAGCUGUGUCCCCCAUCAGACUGGGUGAGCCUGCUCAACUGAGACGAGUUCAUUAAAGAAUCAAAGUGAAGACUCGAACCCCGGGAACAGCCUUCAGCUUGCUCUGAGAAUGAAGGAGAAAGAAAGUUGGGGGCCUCCCUGGUGGCAAUUCUCAGUCUCUGCAGUACAAGUUUAAUCUCUAGAUCGAUCCCCUGGCGGGCAAGGGAGCAACCCCCAUGACACAGCAGACCUCUCCUGUCUUGCCUGCUGCUCCCCUCAGCAGUGUAUUUCAGUCAAUCUGCCUGUUCUGCUCCCCAUUCUGUCUCUGGUGAAUCCUCUCACCCUUCACACCUCUGGCCUGCAUCCCAGCUCUUGUAUGCAUAAAUAAAUAAAUCUUUAA